AUUUAAUAGUGAGGUAAACGGUAUACAAUAUGUGUGGGCACAGUAAAUAUAUAAGAGGCAAAUACAUCUAAACACAACCACUGCAGAAAAAGAGCCCUGGUCCUUAACGGUAAUACAAUUGAAAAAUUGCCUGGUCACUAAGGGGUUACGGAAGUCAUGUUGUCAGUCUUUACAUUUAUACACUAUGCAAGCAGAGUUAAAUUUAAAUGGUUCAUUUAUUUAACAAUACACUCUAGUCAUAUUUCUUACUUCUAUAGCAAGUUUCUGGAGUAUUCAGAGAAAAGGCAGUGUUUACAUUGCUGCCUAGGAACACCUCUAGUGGGAGUCAUGACCACUAGGGGUGCUUCCUAUCCCAGUGCUGUACAGUGUGCAACUCUGGUGUUCAAUGUCUCCACACACUGCAUGGCACUGAACGUUCCUCAUAGAGAUGCAUUAAUUAAGGAGAAAGGGAAAGAGGGGAGAGAAAGGCUUGCAGACAGCGUGCUGCAGAUUUUUACAAGCUGUUUUUCAUAUACCCCUAAAGAAAAUAUGCAGAAAAAAAAAUAGCAUUUUUUUCAUUGGGGGUAUAGCUGCCAAUUUGUUAAAAAAUAAAAAUCCACUGGAGUAAUGCUUUAAUGUUGAUCCCUAUCCAUGCCAAUCUGCCUAGGAAUGUAGCCCAUGGAUCAGCGCAGCUAAGAGGAAUAGGCCUUGACAGAGCCAGGAGGUAGGCAUAGCAGCCACAGGAAUUUAGUAUCAGCUAGCAUGCUGGCUAGGGCGGAGCCAUACCAGCCAUUAUAGGAAGUGGCCAUUUUAACUGAACCUAAGCUUACCUGUCAGUUGUGAAAGCUGCCUGCCUUGGAGGGAGAAGGCAGCAGCAUGGAGGCAGCAUAGAAGAACAGGCAACAUGGAGGCAGCAUGAAGAACAGGCAGUACUGAGACAGGAGGCAGCAUGGAGACAGGGCUGCCAUCAGAAAUUUUGGGGCCCCUGACACAGCUCAAGGUCUGGGCCCCCCGGUGCCUGCACCCGAGUCCACCC